rnacentral:lncRNA from 10 species
ACACUCCCCUCUUUCCACCCCUCCUGCUAUCAUGCCUUCCACCAUGAUUGUAAGUUUCCUGAGGCCUCCCCAGUCAUGGGAACUCUGAGUUAAUUAAACCUCUUUUCUUUAUAAAUUACCCAGUCUCAGGUAGUUCUUCAUAGCGUGUGAAAACGAACUAAUACACAUAGCCUGAUAUUCUGCUCCAGGCCACCCUUUGAUAGAGGCUCUCCUUACUCCACCUGUCCCACCUGACCAGCUGAAAGGAGGCACAUGUAUCACACCUGUUCAGUGGCAGCUUAGGCCCUCUCUCCUUGGAAGGGUAUAUCAAUUUUCACAGUUUGUGGCUCUGCCAUUUU